rnacentral:rRNA from 1 species
AUUGAACGCUGGCGGCAGGCUUAACACAUGCAAGUCGAACGGUAACAUAAAGUAGCUUGCUUCUUUGAUGACGAGUGGCGGACGGGUGAGUAAUGCUUUGGAAUCUAGCUUAUGGAGGGGGAUAACUACGGGAAACUGUAGCUAAUACCGCGUAGAAUCGGGAGAUGAAAGUGUGGGACCUUCGGGCCACAUGCCAUAGGAUGAGCCCAAGUGGGAUUAGGUAGUUGGUGAGGUAAAGGCUCACCAAGCCGACGAUCUCUAGCUGGUCUGAGAGGAUGACCAGCCACACUGGGAAUGAGACACGGCCAAGACUCCUACGGGAGGCAGCAGUGGGGAAUAUUGCGCAAUGGGGGCAACCCUGACGCAGCCAUGCCGCGUGAAUGAAGAAGGCAUUCGGGUUGUAAAGUUCUUUCGGUAGCGAGGAAGGCAUUUAGUUUAAUAGACUAGGUGAUUGACGUUAACUACAGAAGAAGCACCGGCUAACUCCGUG